rnacentral:rRNA from 1 species
GACGAACCGUGCGAACGUUAUUCGGAAUCACUGGGCUUAAAGCGCGUGUAGGCGGACCGGCACGUCGGUACCUGAAAGCCCCCGGCUCAACCGGGGAACUGGGGCCGAUACGACCGGCCUGGAGGGACGUAGGGGGACCUGGAACUUCCGGUGGAGCGGUGAAAUGCGUUGAGAUCGGAAGGAACGCCCGUGGCGAAAGCGAGGUCCUGGACGUCUGCUGACGCUGAGACGCGAAAGCUAGGGGAGCGAACGGG